rnacentral:rRNA from 1 species
CUAGGAUUCCCUUAGUAACGGCGAGUGAACCGGGAUGAGCUCAAAUUUAAAAUCUGGCGUCUUUCAGGCGUCCGAGUUGUAAUCUAUAGAGGCGUUUUCCGCGCCGGACCGCGUCCAAGUCUCUUGGAAUAGAGUAUCAAAGAGGGUGACAAUCCCGUACUUGACGCGACAACCGGUGCUCUGUGAUACGUUCUCAAUGAGUCGAGUUGUUUGGGAAUGCAGCUCUAAAUGGGUGGUAAAUUCCAUCUAAGGCUAAAUAUUGGCGAGAGACCGAUAGCGAACAAGUACCGUGAGGGAAAGAUGAAAAGCACUUUGGAAAGAGAGUUAAACAGCACGUGAAAUUGUUAAAAGGGAAACGAUUGAAGUCAGUCGUGUGAAAGGUAUUCAGCCGUCUCUGGCGGUGUAUUUGCCUUUCACGGGUCAACAUCAGUUUGAUCCGGUAGAAAAAGGCAGGAGGAAGGUGGCACCCUCGGGUGUGUUAUAGCCUCUUGUCAUAUGUGCCGGACCAGACUGAGGAACGCAGCUUGCCGCAAGGCCGGGGUUCGCCCACGUACAAGCUUAGGAUGUUGACAUAAUGGCUUUAAACGA